AUUGAACGCUGGCGGCAGGCCUAACACAUGCAAGUCGAACGAGUGGCGGACGGGUGAGGAAUGUCAGGGACACUGCAUGAAGGAGGGGGAUAAGGACAGGAAACGGAAGACAAUACAGCAUACCAACGGAUGUGCCCAUAUGGGAUUAGCUUGUAGGUGGGGUAAAGGCUCACCUAGGCGACGAGCCCUAGCUGGUAUGAGAGGAUGACCAGCCAGACUGGAAGUGAGACACGGCCCAGAGUCCUCCGGGAGGCAGCAGUAGGGAAAAUUGCACAAUGGGCGCAAGCCUGAUGCAGCCAUGCCGCGUGUAUGAAGAAGGCCUUCGGGUUGUAAAGUAAUUUCAGCGGGGAGGCGUUACCCGCAGAAGAAGCACCGGCUAACUCCGUGCCAGCAGCCGCGGUAAUAC
rnacentral:rRNA from 1 species